rnacentral:rRNA from 1 species
AUUGAACGCUGGCGGCAUGCCUUACACAUGCAAGUCGAACGGCAGCAUGAUCUAGCUUGCUAGAUUGAUGGCGAGUGGCGAACGGGUGAGUAAUACAUCGGAACGUGCCCUGUAGUGGGGGAUAACUAGCCGAAAGAUUAGCUAAUACCGCAUACGACCUGAGGGUGAAAGUGGGGGACCGCAAGGCCUCAUGCUAUAGGAGCGGCCGAUGUCUGAUUAGCUAGUUGGUGAGGUAAAGGCUCACCAAGGCGACGAUCAGUAGCUGGUCUGAGAGGACGAUCAGCCACACUGGGACUGAGACACGGCCCAGACUCCUACGGGAGGCAGCAGUGGGGAAUUUUGGACAAUGGGCGAAAGCCUGAUCCAGCAAUGCCGCGUGUGUGAAGAAGGCCUUCGGGUUGUAAAGCACUUUUGUCCGGAAAGAAAUGGCUCUGGUUAAUACCUGGGGUCGAUGACGGUACCGGAAGAAUAAGGACCGGCUAACUACGUG